rnacentral:rRNA from 1 species
CCUACGGGUGGCAGCAGUGAGGAAUAUUGGUCAAUGGGCGUAAGCCUGAACCAGCCAAGUCGCGGGAGGGAUGAAGGUUCUAUGGAUCGUAAACCUCUUUUAUAAGUGAAUAAAGUGCGGGACGUGUCCCGUUUUGUAUGUACCUUCUGAAUAAGGAUCGGCUAACUCCGUGCCAGCCGCCGGGGUAAGACGGAGGAUCCGAGCGUUAUCCGGAUUUAUUGGGUUUAAAGGGUGCGUAGGCGGCCUUUUAAGUCAGCGGUGAAAGUCUGUGGCUCAACCAUAGAAUUGCCGUUGAAACUGGGAGGCUGGAGGAUGUUUGAGGCAGGCGGAAUUAGUGGUGUAGCGGUGAAAUGCUUAGAUAGCACGCAGAACCCCGAUUGCGAAGGCAGACUGCCAAGCCAUGACUGACGCUGAUGCACGAAAGCGUGGGGAUCAAACAGGAUUAGAUACCCGAGUAGUC